rnacentral:rRNA from 1 species
CUAGUAAUGGCAGGUCAGCAUACUGCCGUGAAUACGUUCCCGGGCCUUGUACACACCGCCCGUCACACCAUGAGAGUUGGGAAUACCCGAAGCCUGUGAGCUAACAUUAAGAGGCAGCAGUCGAAGGUAGAAUCAAUGAUUGGGGUGAAGUCGUAACAAGGUACC